CAUUUUUCUUUACCACCACACACACAGACUGAAUGCAUCUUUGGACAUGUGGCUGGCUCUGGGAUGAAAUGUUUCCGGGGCACUGAAUUG